CUAGUCUUGUACAAAACACACACUCACACAUGCCACCCCCAAAUAAUGGGCUCCCCUUCUCUGCACGGGAUGGGACAGUGGGAGGGAGUGACUCAGAGUGAAAUUUCAGGGUGGAAACGCCAGACACACCAACAGUUGAGAGGUUUUCAAGGUGGAGCGGUCGUGCUGGAAAUAUUUAUAUGGCAGUUGAGACCCUCUUCUCUUCAGCGGGGAGACGGUUGGAAACCCGUCACUCUUCCUCGACGACGGCUGCACCGCAGGCUUCCUCGUCGGUCAUGACCCGCCCCAUGGGCCCUGCCAUUGGACGCCUCCUCCCCCUCCUCCCCCUCCUCCUUUUGAUUGGCGGCUGUGUGGCGACAGCAGGAGGUCAUUCUGGCAUCAAACCCAGAGCUGUACGUUCGAGUGCCUGUCAGGACCACAGCAGACUCCAUAACCGCCUGGAUAUAGUGGAGAAGAAAGUUGAAGACACAGUGGAGAAGUUGGAAGACGAGCUGGCCAUUCUUCUGGACGCCAUCGAAGCCCCGGAGUGGGGCCCUCUACUGGACAUUACCGGGACACCAUCGGUGGACAUCCUCGAUGGACACGGAGAAAUUGCCCCGUUUGAUACGAAAUAAUAACGAUACGAGUAUAGACAUUGGGUAUGCAUCUUUUUACACCAGUUAGUUGAUUUUUCUCAAAAUGUAUCUUGUUCUUAAAGAAAGUUUAUAGGUUGCUGCAGAAAGACAAUACAAUGCGUAACAUAUUCGGACACAAAUGAUGGACGGUCUUCGCUAGAUCUACUAGCCAAACAUGUCUGUUUAUAUUGUUUGUACUCAUCUCUCUUUUAAAGAUGAUUUAUGCCUUUUGGCUACGAUUUGGACUUCACUCUUAUUUUACCAAUUGAUUCGCAAGGGAACCCAUCCUUUAUGCCAGUGCGUCUGUCGCCCCCUGUGGACAAUGAACAGCUCCAAUAACAAGUGUGUAUAUCAACCUCAAUAAAGAGAACCUGAAAGAUAUAUUUGAAAGAGACUUGAUCAUAAAAGGUUUCACCGUUGGUAGUAAUUUUAUUUCUUUAUCAAAGCACUUAAAAGCAGCAUGUUUUAUUUUAAACACAGGGGGUUGAGUGGGUUCUGUACAAGGCCUUGGUUGUUGGUGGCCCUGACUUGCAGGUCAUUUGGUUUCUGCAGUGUAGAAUACUUGUUGUCGAACAGGAACACACAGGGAAGGAAUGGCAUUCAUGACGUUGGUUUUCUCAACAUGGCACUGGUUUGUAUGUUGUUCAAAUGGAUUCAAAUGUUUAAAAUAGAAGUCAUGCUGUUUUUUUUCUUGGCAAGACACAAACACAAUAUAUUCCAACAGCUCAGGUUAAUAUGCUCACAAUGACAAAGUCCAACACACGAAUACACAGAGAAAACAUUGAAAGGAUUUGCAAGAAAUGCCGAAUUAGGAUUGAUCACCGAUGACAGUACUGCAGUAGACAAUCUACACAAAAAUCACUUAUCAAAAUAAUUAUUUAUAUUAGAUAGCAUAUUUCUGUAGUCAAAUGUUUAAUAGUAACAAAGGUUCUGUCAUUUAUUCUGAUGGUCUGUCUUUAAAGCGAGACUGGACCACCUAUUAAAGUUAUCUGAAAUGACACCACUUAUUUCUGCCUGUUGAACAUUCAGCAUAUUAAAUAGAGACAACAAAAGCUGCCCUGGUGCUAAACCAACCCUCUAUGUUCCAUAUCUCCUAAACUGAUAAAGGGGAAAGGUUAACCUGCGGAAAAGGUCAAAUGCUUCGAUUUUUCUUAAACAAAUCAAAUCAUCCAGAGAGGGCAAAAGCCGGCAUUCUUGAACAAGGCAUUAGGAAAACCUUUCGGAUGCGAAAAGACACUGGAUAUAAUCUACACUUAUCAUGCCGUCCAUACGCCACAGGAACUCUAUCGGUUGUACAGGUACAGAUGCUUACGUAAUACUCCUUCUUUACUCUGAUUGGGCGCCACCUGUGUCAAUCUUGGACCGAGCGUCAAGGCUUGCAAUUAACAAAAGCUUGUGCAUGCACAGGUGAGCCAGACACGAGUCAGAUCCAGGCUCGGGAUAAAAAACAGGCUAAUACAGGUUUAGUACAUG